rnacentral:rRNA from 1 species
UACGAAGGGGGCUAGCGUUGCUCGGAAUCACUGGGCGUAAAGGGUGCGUAGGCGGGUCUUUAAGUCAGGGGUGAAAUCCUGGAGCUCAACUCCAGAACUGCCUUUGAUACUGAGGAUCUUGAGUAUGGGAGAGGUGAGUGGAACUGCGAGUGUAGAGGUGAAAUUCGUAGAUAUUCGCAAGAACACCAGUGGCGAAGGCGGCUCACUGGCCCAUUACUGACGUUGAGGCACGAAAGCGUGGGGAGCAAACAGG